UACGGGGGAUGCAAGCGUUAUCCGGAAUCAUUGGGCGUAAAGCGCCUGUAGGUUGUUUAGUAAGUCUGUUGUUAAAGCCUAGGGCUUAACCCUAGAACAGCAAUGGAAACUACUAGGCUAGAGUAUGGUAGGGGUAGAGGGAAUUUCUAGUGUAGCGGUGAAAUGCGUAGAUAUUAGAAAGAACACCGGUGGCGAAAGCGCUCUACUGGACCAUUACUGACACUCAGAGGCGAAAGCUAGGGUAGCAAAAGGGAUUAGAUACCCCUGUAGUCCUAGCCGUAAACGAUGGAUACUAGAUGUUGUGCAUAAAGUACAGUAUCGCAGCUAACGCGUUAAGUAUCCCGCCUGGGGAGUACGCUCGCAAGGGUG
rnacentral:rRNA from 1 species